ensembl:snRNA U2 U2 spliceosomal RNA
UUCACUUCUCAGCCUUUUGGCUAAGAUCAAGUGUAGUAUCUGUUCUUAUUGGUUUAAUAUUUAAUUUCUCUCAUUAGGAAGAAUUUAAAUUAAAUUAGAUUUUCCUCCUGGGAAAGGAGGAGCAAUA